GAUGAACGCUGGCGGCGUGCCUAAUACAUGCAAGUCGAGCGAACAGACGAGGAGCUUGCUCCUCUGACGUUAGCGGCGGACGGGUGAGUAACAAGUGGAUAACCUACCUAUAAGACUGGGAUAACUUCGGGAAACCGGAGCGAAUACCGGAUAAGAUAUUGAACAGCAUGGUGCAAGAGUGAAAGACGGUGUUGCGGUCAAUUAUAGAUGGAUCCGCUCGGCAUUAGAUAGUUGGUAGGUAACGGCUUACCAAGGCAACGAUGCGUAGCCGACCUGAGAGGGUGAUCGGCCACACUGGAACUGAGACACGGUCCAGACUCCUACGGGAGGCCGCAGUAGGGAAUCUUCCGCAAUGGGCGAAAGCCUGACGGAGCAACGCCGCGUGAGUGAUGAAGGUCUUCGGAUCGUAAAACUCUGUUAUUAGGGAAGAACAAAUGUGUAAGUAACUAUGCACGUCUUGACGGUACCUAAUCAGAAAGCCACGGCUAACUACGUG
rnacentral:rRNA from 1 species